GUCCUACGGGGGGCAGCAGUGAGGAAUAUUGGUCAAUGGGCGGAAGCCUGAACCAGCCAAGUCGCGUGAGGGAAUAAGGCCCUACGGGUCGUAAACCUCUUUUAUGCGGGGAUAAAGGUGUCCACGUGUGGAUGUUUGCAGGUACCGCAUGAAUAAGGACCGGCUAAUUCCGUGCCAGCAGCCGCGGUAAUACGGAAGGUCCGGGCGUUAUCCGGAUUUAUUGGGUUUAAAGGGAGCGUAGGCCGGUCUUUAAGCGUGCCGUGAAAUUUUGUGGCUCAACCAUGAGAGUGCGGCGCGAACUGGAG
rnacentral:rRNA from 1 species